rnacentral:rRNA from 1 species
GAGUUUGAUCAUGGCUCAGAUUGAACGCUGGCGGCAUGCCUUACACAUGCAAGUCGAACAGCAGCACGGGUGCUUGCACCUGGUGGCGAGCGGCGAACGGGUGAGUAAUACAUCGGAACGUACCUUAUCGUGGGGGAUAACGCAGCGAAAGUUGCGCUAAUACCGCAUACGCCCUGAGGGGGAAAGCGGGGGACCGUAAGGCCUCGCGCGAUUAGAGCGGCCGAUGUCUGAUUAGCUUGUUGGUGAGGUAAAAGCUCACCAAGGCAAUGAUCAGUAGCUGGUCUGAGAGGACGAUCAGCCACACUGGGACUGAGACGCGGCCCAGACUCCUACGGGAGGCAGCAGUGGGGAAUUUUGGACAAUGGGGGCAACCCUGAUCCAGCAAUGCCGCGUGAGUGAAGAAGGCCUUCGGGUUGUAAAGCUCUUUUGUCAGGGAAGAAACAGCAGCUCUAACACAGUCUGCGAAUGACGGUACCUGAAGAAUAAGCACCGGCUAACUACGUGCCAGCAGCCGCGGUAAUACGUAGGGUGCGAGCGUUAAUCGGAAUUACUGGGCGU